UACAGAGGGGGCAAGCGUUAUUCGGAAUUAUUGGGCGUAAAGGGCGCGUAGGCGGCAUGGCAAGUGGAAGGUGAAAUCCCUCGGCUUAACCGAGGAACUGCCCUCCAAACUGCUUUGCUUGAGGCCGGGAGAGGUGAGUGGAAUUCCCAGUGUAGCGGUGAAAUGCGUAGAUAUUGGGAGGAACACCAGUGGCGAAGGCGGCUCACUGGCCCGGUACUGACGCUGAGGUGCGAAAAGCGUGGGGGAGCAAACAGG
rnacentral:rRNA from 1 species